rnacentral:ribozyme from 1 species
AUAAGAAAAGAAAAGAAAAAAAAGGACGUCGAACUUUUUUUUUUUGUGUGUGUG